GCAUUAUAUUCAAAGGAGCUUCCCUGCUAUCAGAAAAUCUCUGUACUGUUCAAAGUAACCACACCUGUAGCAAAAUAGCAGACAAGCCUAGCCAGACCACUCACACACAAUCAAGCUCCAACCCCCUUAGACCCAAACAAACUAGCUGUGCUUUAAAUGAAGAAGGCACCAACUUCCUACAUAGCCAAUCCACAAAUAGGUUCUUCAGCACUAGACACUAGGUAACGCAACUCUAAGCGACUACCCACUAGACACAGAUCCAUAACCACUCUCCCACCACGCACACAUGGGUGCUAACCACAGAAAUACCACAGUGGAAUAGCCAGCCAUGUUGCCAUCCCCCAGCCUAAACUGCCAGACUCUAAAAUUAAGUUGAUCCAAUGAGCUGGUUGCAGGACUUGGGGUUUUCUGGAUAAUGGGUCUUGAGUUUUUGCAUGGGCAUGUAGUAUAACCGCUCCAUGAAAACGGCCAUGGAAGAGAGAAGACUAAUAU